rnacentral:rRNA from 1 species
GACGAACGCUGGCGGCGUGCCUAAUACAUGCAAGUCGAACGAGAGCGCCCGGUGCUUGCACUGGUCAAUCUAGUGGCGAACGGGUGAGUAACACGUGGGUAACCUGCCCAUCAGAGGGGGAUAACAUCCGGAAACGGAUGCUAAAACCGCAUAGGUCUUCGAACCGCAUGGUUUGAAGAGGAAAAGAGGCGCAAGCUUCUGCUGAUGGAUGGACCCGCGGUGCAUUAGCUAGUUGGGGAGGUAACGGCUCACCAAGCACGUGAUGCAUAGCCGACCGGAGAGGGUGAUCGGCAACAUGGGAACGAAGACACGGCCCAAACUCCGACGGGAGGCAGAAGUAGGGAAUCUUCCGAACUGGACGAAAGUUUGACGGAGCAACGCCGCGGGAGUGAAGAAGGUUUCCGGUUCGAAAACCUCUGUUGUGAGAGAAGAACAAGGGCUAGAGUAACGGUGAGCGCCUGGACGGUAUCUAACCAGAAAGCCACGGCUAACUAGGU